UACGUAGGGACCGAGGGUGGUCCGGAUUCAUUGGGCGUAAAGAGCUCGUAGGCGCCUGUUCAAGUCGAACGUGAAAACUCGGAGCUCAACUCCGAGCCUGCGUUCGAUACUGGACGGCUAGAGUCUGGUAGGGGGAUCUGGAAUUCCUGGUGUAGCGGUGGAAUGCGCAGAUAUCAGGAGGAACACCGGUGGCGAAGGUGGGAUCCUGGGCCAGUACUGACGCUGAGGAGCGAAAGCGUGGGGAGCAAACAGG
rnacentral:rRNA from 1 species